rnacentral:rRNA from 1 species
UACGGAGGUGGCAAGCGUUGCUCGGAAUCACUGGGCGUAAAGGGCGCGUAGGCGGGGAGGUAAGUCGGGUGUGAAAUCCCUCGGCCCAACCGAGGAACUGCGCCCGAGACUGCUUCUCUUGAGUCCCGGAGAGGAAGAUGGAAUUCCUGGUGUAGCGGUGGAAUGCGCAGAUAUCAGGAGGAACACCAAUGGCGAAGGCAGAUCUCUGGGCCGUAACUGACGCUGAGGAGCGAAAGCAUGGGGAGCGAACAGG